GCCAUAACUGACAGAGCAUUAAAGAAUCUUAUGAGGAACAUGUCUGCCACGACAAACGGCACUGGAAGGGAAGAAGGUAGGAGAUGAAGGAGGAGAAAAGAUGGAACAAUAACAAUAAUUCCAGAGGUACCUCAGAGAGUAACCUGCAAAAAGACUAUGGGGAAGAAGAGAACAGGAUCAGACGGGUUACUGUCAACAGCAUGCUGUAUCUGCUAGCAUGGAAGGUCAAACAGUUAGAAGCUUUUGCUGAGCCCACAAAUGUACAAAGACCUACGGUAAGUGUCACAAACUGUAGACUGUCAUUUUGAAACUGGAUUAAUA